rnacentral:rRNA from 1 species
UACGUAGGGGGCUAGCGUUGUCCGGAAUCAUUGGGCGUAAAGCGCGCGUAGGCGGCCCGGUAAGUCCGCUGUGAAAGUCAAAGGCUCAACCUUUGAAUGUCAGCGGAUACUGCCAGGCUAGAGUCCGGAAGAGGCGAGUGGAACUCCUGGUGUAGCGGUGGAAUGCGCAGAUAUCAGGAAGAACACCAACGGCGAAGGCAGCUCGCUGGGACGGAACUGACGCUGAGGCGCGAAAGCCAGGGGAGCGAACGGG